AAAAAGCUUUUUCGAGUCAUUAAAGUCAAUAUUCUGACUCAAUUUCUGUUGACGUAAUAUACUUAACGACUCGUUACCAGAGUCUUUAAUUUAAUUAUACAAUAAAAGACACUAUUCAGUUUUAAAGAACUAUUAACGGUCUACGUGACCUUCCGGCAUAUUCACACAAUAAUUCCAUACAUAUUUUUGGUAUAAAAGUUUAUGCUUUCUAAUCCGAAUUCUAUACGAAAAGGUAUUCAGAGAAACGUGUAAUUUAGGUAUCCAAUAG
rnacentral:lncRNA from 1 species